rnacentral:rRNA from 1 species
GAUCCUGGCUCAGGACGAACGCUGGCGGCGUGCCUAACACAUGCAAGUCGAACGAAGCUCUGCGAUACAAGACUUCGGUCAAGUUGAACGGAUGACUUAGUGGCGGACGGGUGAGUAACGCGUGAGGAACCUGCCUUUCAGUGGGGGGACGAACAGUUGGAAACGACUGCUAAUACCGCAUAAUGUAUUCUGACCGCAUGAUCGGAAUACCAAAGAUUUAUUGCUGAAAGAUGGCCUCG